UACGUAGGUGACCAGCGUUGUCCGGAUUUACUGGGCGUAAAGGGCGCGUAGGCGGCCCGGUAAGUCAAAGGUGAAAUCCCUCGGCUCAACUGAGGAACUGCCUUUGAAACUGUCGGGCUUGAGGCCGGGAGGGGGUAGCGGAAUUCCCAGUGUAGCGGUGAAAUGCGUAGAUAUUGGGAGGAACACCAGUGGCGAAGGCGGCUAACUGGCCCGGUACUGACGCUGAAAUACGAAAGCGUGGGGAGCAAACAGG
rnacentral:rRNA from 1 species